rnacentral:rRNA from 1 species
AUUGAACGCUGGCGGCAUGCUUUACACAUGCAAGUCGAACGGUAACAGGCCGCAAGGUGCUGACGAGUGGCGAACGGGUGAGUAAUGCAUCGGAACGUGCCCAGUCGUGGGGGAUAACGCAGCGAAAGCUGCGCUAAUACCGCAUACGAUCUAUGGAUGAAAGCGGGGGACCGUAAGGCCUCGCGCGAUUGGAGCGGCCGAUGUCAGAUUAGGUAGUUGGUGGGGUAAAGGCUCACCAAGCCAACGAUCUGUAGCUGGUCUGAGAGGACGACCAGCCACACUGGGACUGAGACACGGACCAGACUCCUACGGGAGGCAGCAGUGGGGAAUUUUGGACAAUGGGCGCAAGCCUGAUCCAGCAAUGCCGCGUGCAGGAAGAAGGCCUUUGGGUUGUAAACUGCUUUUGUACGGAACGAAACGGUCCUGGUUAAUACCCGGGGCUAAUGACGGUACCGUAAGAAUAAGCACCGGCUAACUACGUGCCAGCAGCCGCAGUAACAC